rnacentral:lncRNA from 1 species
AAAAAAAUUGGCCUUAUACUGAACACCAAAUCCCUAAAAUUACAGAUAAUUUGUAAACAUUAAAAGCAAUUGCGCACGCACGCAGCCCCUUUCUCUCAACAGCACGCACGCCGCCAGCACACUUAGCCCAUGCAGCAGCAACCGAGCACGGUAGCAACAGGCCACCAGCAGUCGCUCUCUCUCUCACGCACACGCAGCAGCAAGCCAACACCAAUAGCCCCUCUUUCUCAUGCUCACUCUCUACUAUGACGAAGUCAACACUAUAGCCCUCUUACGUACUCAAGAAAACUCUAACCCAUAUCCAAACCCUCGCCGUCGAAGAAAACCCAAUCCUUAAUGGCUUGAAAUUAAAGCCUCCGCCGUCAAUCACCAUCGAACCAAAUAAACCCUAGCCUUACCAUCACUCUUCAUUUGACUCGCUGAAGAAAGCACUCUAUUAGGUAAGUCUCUGUUGUUUGAUAAUAUAUCUGCACUCUUUGUUGGCCGAAGCUUUUAGACAAUUGCUUUGAUUCAAUUGCUUCGAUUGGUUAGUUCUCUGUGAUUAAUUAGUUAGUUACUUUUAAUUUCAUAUUUUCAUCUCUAACAGUGAAUUUGGGAGUCGUUUUCUCUAUCGGAUUUGUAAUUUUUGCUACGGAUCAAAAACAUCUUGAAGGUGUUUUCAUAUCUAACAACUUGAACUAUCAUUUAUUUUGUCCUAUUAAUGUUCAAUUUUUUUUUUCUUUUUUAUUAGUAUGACAAUUAGUCGAAUGUCCUUGCACAUAAAACAAUCUUUUAACUUGGCGUUGGAAUAUUUGUUUUGAGUUGUGUCCCCUUAAUCAGUGACCAUACAAAAGUUCCCCAUGAUAAAGUGUUUAGCCCUAUUAAUGCCAUAAAGUCUUGCUCUCAAUUUUUCUGAUUAUGCCUAUGGAUUGAUUACCUAUUUCAUUUACAAAUUCAAUUGGCAAAUGUACAAUGCCUGCAUGACACUCACAUUUGGGUUAUAAUGGUAGUCAUUAUGAGGAAGAAGGUUAGAAUAACAUCAGGGGAAACAUCUGGGAGAAGGUAUGUACUGUCAAGCUCUUUGUUAGAAUCAUCACGAAAUUUAUAUUGGAUCGUGGCUGUUCUAUGUGAUGCAUUUUGGAUUUGCUCUUGCUAGACAUGCAAAAACUUGUAAAAUGUAUUUUUUUUUUCCCAUUUUAGAUUUACUAUCUAGUAUCUUGUAGGUUUAAUCUAAAAUAGAAACCAUUCAGGAUACUGGACACAAUUCUAAUGAAGAGAAAAGAUGUUAGACUUUAGUAUUCAACCUUUUUUUUUUAGCCAUAUUUCUAGACCCCAAGUUUAUGUCAUGAUAAUUGUGUGAUUGAUAAGAUAUUUUGGUUUUAGACUGUAUCUCAUGGAUUUAGAGUUCGAUUAUAUUUGGAAGUGGAAUAAUGCAUUCAUUUACAUAUGAUGUUUGAUGAAGUUCCCAUAAAAUUAAUUCAAUUAUAUAUGCUUAUGGUUCUAAGGAAGCGGGGCAAAAAUUUUAUCAGUGGGUUGAUUUCACUAGUUCAAGUUAGUAAAGCAAAGAAAUUGUCUUUAUGCACUUUAACUUUCCUCCAUUUAAGUUAAAAAAAUUAUUGAAGCUUUUGGAAGUGAAUUGUUCAUUUUGUUUGUGCACUUAUGCAGAUGGAUUUACUUUUGGCUGCUUAACCCUUCCUCACUUAUAUUUUUUCAGUUUAAAUUGCAGUGUUUUACUGCUGUGCAACAGCACAAGAGGUUGUUUUAUUGUUGUUUCUAUAAAAACACAGCACCAGGAAGCGUCCAGGUAAUGUUUCGCUGCUGUUAUGCAGUAAAAACAACACCUGAAAGUUUCUAGGUGCUAUUUUUACUGCUGUUUACGCAGAAACACAGCACCUAAAAGUGUCUCUAAGUUCUGUUUAGCUGCUAUUAUGCAGCAAAAACAGCACUUGGAAACUUCCAAGUGCUGUUUUUAUUGCAUUUUAUGCAGAAACAAAGCACCUAGAAGCAUUCAAGGGUUGCUUUACUGUUGUUUUGUAUUUAAAAUUGGUCUUAGAAAUUUUGGGUGCUAUUUCGCUGAAAUUUUGCUACUAACAGUGCAGCUUAAUAAUUUCAUAUGUCGUUUUGAACCUUCUUCAGUUCUUUUCUCUUAUGUCUAUACUUAAUCUUUUCCCCCCUUGGUAAUAAGCAGGUACAAUUUUUGCAAGGUAAUAUCUAAGCAUGCUGUUAAUUCUUUGGUUGAGACGUAGUAUUCUAAACUUCAGGCCUUAAUUUUUUUAUUUCCAAGUGUAUAAUGGGUAGGUACUGGAUCUCUUAUGGAUGAUGUAGUUAAUGCUUUUUUAUUGUCUCUAUUUUGGCAAAUGUGUUGUCAUUUAUUAUCUGAACACAUGGUUGAUUAACUUACUUGAGGUAAGUCUAUUAAUUAAUAGUGAUAUGGUACUUUAAAGUCUUGUUUUACAACUUAAGUCACUAAAGUGAUUUAAUAUUUAUGAUUUAUAAUAUAUGAAUAUAUCUUAAUUUCUCUUUAUUCUUUGUAAGAAUGAUGUAGAUUGCUGAAGCUGGUGAGAUUCAUUUGCAAUUAAAGACUUGAUGAGAAAUUAGAUGUACUCACACAUGCCAAUCUUGUUGGUUGCUAGUGCAUUCACUAGUAGAAGUUUAAUGAUUGUUGGAGAUUUUUGUAGAGCUAUCUCUUUGUAUAUGAAACAUUUGCAUCAUUUUGUAUAUGAAACAUUUGAGAAAAAUAAUUGUAAAGAAUUUAAUAUGAAAUUAGAAUUAAAAUAGGAGCUUGAAAUAGCCUUAAAUUUGCCAAAUUUAUUUUUUUAAUAAUAAAUAACAAAGAUGACGGUUAUUUCAAAAGAACCGUAAUCAAAUGUAGUGUUCUACAACAAAGAUGACGGUUCUUACAAUAAACCGUCAUUAAAAUGACACAUUUAAUGACGGUUAUUUAGAUAAACCGUCAUUAAAGAUAGAUAUUUAAUGACGGUUCUUACAAUAAACCAUCAUUAAAAUGACACAUUUAAUGACGGUUAUUUAAAUAACCGUCAUUAAAAAUAUACAUUUAAUGACGGUUAGUGAACCGUCAUAAAAAACAUACCCUCUUUAAUGUCGGUGCCUAAGAUGACGGUUUUAAAACCGUCAUCUUAUGUCGUUUAAAACCGUCAUAAAAGAGCAAUUUUGUAGUAGUGGAAUCCGAAUCCAUAUCUGGAUACAAAUCCAUUUGAAAAAAUUAGAUCUCUGGAUCUGCAUCAUUUUUAAUAAAAUUAUUUAUUAAAUUAACAUGAAAAAAAAAAUAUAUAAGUUAAAUGAAAAAAAAAACAUAAUAGGAUUAAUUUAAAAAAUAUAGAAGUUGAAUUAAAUUAAGAAAUAUAUUUGAAUCCAUAUUAUUUUAUGUGGAUUUGUGGUGUCUUUAUAAUUUUAUUUGUGGAGGAUUUGUGGUGUUUUAGACUUGAAUUUAUGUUAUUCUUGAUGUUUGAUUUAUGUUGUGAUAUUUUUAUUUGUGACUUCAUGGUGUUGAAUUAUUGAUUGUUGAAUUGUGAUUGGAUUUUAUUUGAUAUUAUCAGGUAAAUUGCUUAAUUCUAAAUUAUAUUUAAAAUUAUUAAAUUUUAAUUUAUCCGGAUCCAGAUAUCUGAGAUAUCUGCUACAAUCCAUGCAGAUAUUAUCCACAUUUGGAUCCACAAAAAUAUUAACGAAUCGGAAUCCGGAUCCAGAUCCGGAUAUAAAAGUAUUAAUUCGGAUGUAGAUCUAGAUUUUGCUAUAUCCCUAUCCAAAGAUAUUUAGGACAACAUCCAAAUAACCUAUAUUCAUAAGAUGAAGUGAUCCAAAUACGGAGGGAUGUAGUGUAAUAUACAUAUAUUUAUAAGUUUGAGAUUCAAACUCCAUUCACAUGAGUUUUCAAGAAAUUGAGAUGUUAUAAGACAAAAUAUUAAAAAAUAUAUAUGCGCGUACAUAUGUGUGUCCGUGCGUGCAUAUAGAACGAUGAACAAAAAUAUUGUAAAAUAUUUAUGCUGAAAGUUCUUAAAUAUUGUUAUUGUUUGAACAAGAUCCUCCAACAAACUAAUUGAGAGUUCGAUUAUGCUGUGUUCUCUGCUUCUGUUUAGCCCACCAUCUUUUCCACAGGGGUAGAAGAGUAAUUAAGAUACCAAGUUCAUGUGAAAUUAAUUGUUUUUAAAUGUUAAUAAAGAAAUAACCAAAAAAAAUUUUUCUUUUUUUUUCACAAAGACGGGGUGAAGAACAUCUUCAAGAAUCGUGGAGGAUUCUUUGGCAAAGAAACUUCUAGAAGCCAUUAAUUUAUUUCUUUGUAGCUUUGCAAUGGGACUUCCAGAAACCCCAAUUGAAAUUCCAAUUAGGAUCGAGCAGGCUAAUAUUCCCAAUUCCACAACCUAGUAGCCGAUAACUUCAAACUGUAAGUCAUAAUUAAAAAAACAAUAAUAAUAAUAAAGAAAUAAAACAUAAAUAAAAAAAAAAGCUCAGUGUGAAAAUAAAUAAAUAAAUAUACAUGUAGUAAUACAAUAUCUAAAUAAUGAGAAAUUCUAUAAUACAUUAGAGGUGUUGUACCCAAUUAAUGUAUGUAUGAGAUUUGCAGUUCAUUUAAUAUGAUUACCCAUUCUAUAGUGAUUUUUUAAAAUAAAUACACACAUGACGUACAUGUAUGAAUUGGGUACAUUAUCUCUUAUGUACUCUAAAAUUUUUCCUAUCUAACUAAUCUGUUGGCUAAGCCAAUUGCCGAUAUAAUUGCUGUUGGAAAACGAGAUUCAUUGAAAAUAUAGAAUGUUGCUAAUUCUAUCUGCACAAAGUUGCCUUCAUGAGAUGCGAAUAAGUAAAACUAGAAGCUCUUAUGAGCUUGAACAAAUGAUUUUCAAGUAAUUUUUAUUAUUUAACUAACUAUUCAAGUUCAAAUUUAAAUUGAGUUUUACUUGACUUUUUUAAAAUAUAUAUAUAUAUAUAUAUAACAGGAAAAGUAGACCAGCAAAAUUCUAAUUAAUGAAAGAAUUGUUUGAAUUAGAGAGAAUGUGGUAAAGAGUUUAAAAUAGGCAACCGAAAGACGAAAUUAAGGCGGCAGUGAUCCGGCCUCCUUUGCGCUGUGUAACUAACCAAAUAAUAAAAUUAUCACGUAAUCUAUGAUCAUAAUUUUUGAGUUUGAUUUGACACGAUAAUAAAUGAAUUAGAUUAAAAUUUGAGAUUCUUACAUGACACAAAUAAUUAUAAAUGGAUCGAGUUUCGAUUAGCUCAAAUUUGACUUGCAUGACGCAAAAGGAAAUACGACCCGGCGACUCAAAUUGUUUCAUCUAAUUUUUAGUACAUAUUUUAGUGUUGUCUUCUUAAAAAUGGGGAUCUUUUAGUAGUACGAAACCGAGGAUUUUUUAAUGAUGGAAAAUUGAGCUGGUUUGAGUAACCAGACAUUCGAAUUUUCUUGAACCGACAUUUAUGUUUUUUUGGGAAUUUACAUCUUUAAAAUUUAGAAAAACAAUCAUGUAGAUCUAUAAAUUUUUAAUAAGAGAUAUCAAGAUCUUCUUUUGACUAUAAUAUCUUUUAACUUUAUUGACUCAGAAAAUUUACUUCAAUGUUAAGUAAUAAAUAAAAAUAUGAUAUUAAAAUAAAUAUAACGAAUUUAUACAUUUUAAAAUAAUUUAACUAUUUAAAAAAUAGUUUAACACUUUACAAUCUUAUACCAUAUUAAACUAAAUUUUAUAAUAAAUAGGAAAAUAAUAUUAAAUAAACAUAUAAAAAUUUAAAUUAUAUUUAAUAUUGAAGUUUUGUUGUGUGGUGAAUUUUUACUGGUCGUAAGUCCCGUCCAAGGAUAAGUUUUCCGUUUAGGGCUGUAAUACCAUACCUGUAGCCAUUCUGACUAAACCAAAGAUAGACCAUAGGAUUCUGACCAUGAAUCCUCUACACUGUAGAACAUCGUCCUUUUCUAGCUCUUCUUCCGGGAAGACUAGUGAUUCAAAGCAUGUUGUGAGUUCAGAAGAAUUCGUUAUUGAGAACUUUGAUAAAGCAAUUGAUUGUUGGGAACUUCCAAAGAUUUCAAAAGAACAAAUUUACAAAACAAAAAAGUUUGAUUUCCUAAAGAGUGAUUAUGUCAUAAAAACCGAAGAAAGAGACAACCCUUUCUUCACCAUUUGAAACAAUUCAUUUGUUUUCAGAAAAAUCUUUAAAAAAGUUAAAAGAAAAGAAUUUUAAUUACAUCCACAUUGGUUUGAUCCAAAUAGGAAUAAAGCCUCUAACCAAAGAAGGCUUGGAUACUUUUAUCCUUGCUGUCCUUAGAGAUGGUCGAUUCAUCUCUUUUGAUGAUUCUUUGCUAAGUAGCAUCGAGUCCAGUCUAUGUAAAGGUCCAAUUUCUUUUGACUGUUAUCCAAACAUAACGCUUUCUCUUAAAGACAAAAAUAUUUUGAAAAGCAUGAUUUUACAGAUUAAAACGCAUAAUUACAAUAUGAUAUAGGGAUCUGUCCCAGUUGCUUUAAUCUUUAAAAUCUCGUAUAAGGCUAUGAUCUCUGCGUUUAGCACGCAGCACAAAUUCCAGUCAAAAAGAGACGAGACUCUUCUCUUGCAGACUGACUUGUCUAAAGCAAACACAGUCAUUCCAAAACCAAUCCAAUGGAAAGAUGUCAAUCUUCCAGAGGAAUGGAUUCUUGAAGGAAUUGCUCCACCAGCAGUUCCAAAACAACUUGAGCCAAAUACAGAGUUGCAAAAUGUGACUCAGUAUUCUGAUGGUAAAGUCAAACUGUCAUUCAGGAGAUCUAAUUCAACUAGAUUUUCUGAUAAAGAGUCGUGCUCAAGUAUUCAUUCCUUAGAAAGGAAAUUUACAAAAAUCCCUUCUGUUAUAAAUCUUCCUUUUCAAAGUCAACCUAGGUUUUCCACUUCGGAUUUACCUAGCUCCUCCAUUCGUUCUGUUGACUAUACUACAAAAGUACCUCAUCCCAUUUAUAUUAGCAGUCAACAUGAACAAAGACAGGAAGAGAAGGAACCUUCUCCUCCAACUUCCCCUACGUUCUCUGCUGUCACAGAAAACGUUAUAAAUGUUAUUGAAAAGCAUUUUGAUUUAGAUAAGACUCUUCUUCAUAAUGAUUUUUAUUCAGAAAACAAUAAAGAAAAAAGACUUUGGUUUUUUGAGCAUUUUCUAAAUCAAAGAAAAGAAAUCCAACAAACUUAUUAUGAAUUUGUGAAUCUUCAUCAAGUUCAUAUAUUGUUUUUUGAUUGGUUCGAAAUAUAUUCUUCUGAGAACAACAUCUCUUAUCCUUUCAAAGAAUCAAACCCUAUUACUAUUAGGAAGAAAAUUCCUGAAUGGAAACUCACUGAUAGUAAUAAAACCAUAGAAUCUGAACAUCCACCUUUUAGGAGUAUAACCAUAGAUCAUGGUGAACCUCCUAUUGAAAUUAGAGCUUCACCUUACAAAAUCCCUAAGCCAAAUGAUUCUGAAGCCAAUUUAAGUAGUAUUAUCCAACAGAAUAAUUUUUGUAAUACUAACUUAAAUACUAUCGGAAAGCAGUUGACUAGGAUAGAAAACCAAUUCCAAAAGUCAACCAUCACAGUUUCUUCGACUUCUCCUAUUUCAUCAAAAUCGGAUUAUGAUAAAAAGCUUAAGGAACCUAUUUUCAAACAUUUUCAGGUUUCGAAAACUAGCCAAAGGCUUGUCCAUGAAUCAAAAUCAGAUUUUGCCAAAGCUAUUAGAGAACAGUUAGAUAGGAUAGAAGCUGCUUCUUCCUCAUCUAGCAAAAUUCAGAUAGCCCCUGAUACUCCCCAAUCUAGCAAGAUUGGAGUAUUAAAUCUAGACCAGGUUUCUAUUGCCUCUUCUGACCUAGAAGCCUUUACCGAAGAACCUGUUCCUAAAGCCAAUAAAAUCCAAUGGGAUUUAGCCCUCCCUAUUUCCAAAUCUCCACCUGAUUUGACUAUAGACAACAGGCCUAGUGCAUUAAAUCAAGCUCGAUAUAAUGCAUCCUCUGUCUAUGAGUGGAAUAUAGAUGGAAUGUCUGAGUACAACAUUCUAGGUGUAUUGCAGCAAAUGACCAUGGCAGCUAAUGCCUAUAAAACCCAAUCGGGAACUUCUGACAAGGGCAUUGCAGAAAUCCUAAUUGCUGGUUUUACUGGUCAACUUAAAGGAUGGUGGGAUCAUCUUCUCACUAAAUUGCAGCAAUUAGACAUCUUAAAUGCCAUCCAAAUCGAUGAGAAUGGUGCUCCCAUUCUUGACGAAUUCAAUAAUCCAAUUCAAGAUGCUGUUGCUACCCUGAUUUUAACCAUAUCCCUUCAUUUCAUAGGUGACCCUUCUCACCUUAGAGACAAAAACGCCGAGUUACUACACAACUUAAGAUGUAGAAAACUCAGUGAAUUCCAAGAUUACAAAACCACUUUCUUUACUAGACUCUUCCUAAGGGAUGAUGCUAAUCAUGUAACUUGGAAGGAGAAAUUCCUUGCAGGUUUACCUACCCUUUUGGGAGAAAAGGUUAGAAACUCUAUCAAAGCCCUUUAUGACAAUCGAGUUCCUUAUGACGAGCUCACCUAUGGUGAACUAGUCAGUUUUGUCAAUAAAGAAGGUUUAAAGAUCUGUCAAGAUUUGAAACUACAGAGACGUCUAAAAUGGGAGCUUAGGAAAUCUAAGCAAGAAUUAGGCGAUUUCUGUAAGCAAUUCAAUUAUGACCCCUUUAAAACUUCUACUUCUAAAGAUUGUAAUGGUAAGUGUUCUUCAAAACCUUACAAGAAACAUUACAAGUCUAAAAGCCAUAGGAAACCCUUUCAUGAUUUUAGAAAACUUCCUUAUAAGAAACCUUCGAGGCCUUAUAAGAAACAUAGUUUCUCUAAAAAGAAAGAGUUUAAAACCAAACCUAAAACCCCAUUCAAUUUCAAAGAUGCUACAUGUUUCAAAUGUGGUAUGAAAGGCCAUACUGUAAAAUUUUGCAGAAUGAACAAGAGACUUCAAGAGCUUGACCUUAAUGAGGACAUCCUUUCCAAAAUAGCCCCCCUUCUUGUAGAGUCUUCUGACUCUGAGUCUUCCAUGUCGGGAGAUAGUGACCCCCUCCAGGUUGAUGAGUUACUAGAUUCGGAUACCUCUGCAUCUAGCAGUAGCGAUUCUGAUUCGGAUACUUAUUUAAAGAAAAUCAAUGUUUUGACUAAAGACCAAGAGAUUUUCCUUGAACUUGUAAAGCAUAUUUCUGAUCCAAAUCUUCAAAAGGAUUAUCUUGACAAACUUUUGAAAACCAUGGAUUCAAACAAAGCAGAAACUUCUAAAGUUCCUAUUGUUAAAAAGAAUUCUUAUGAUCUUACUGAGAUUUUAGACAAAAAGAAAACAAAGAAAUCUACCCCUAGUAUUCAAGAUCUUCAAAAGGAGAUCAAGGAUAUUAAACUUGAGAUAAAGGAUUUAAAAGAAAAACAAAAAAGUGAUUCUAAUACUAUCCAACUUCUUUUACAAAAGCAAUUACAGGAUAACUCAGACAAUGAGUCAACUCCUGAUGAUGAUGAUAAUAUUCAUCAAAAUGUUGAAAACAUUAAGUCUGUCCCAAAAGAUUUUUUGUUUGUUUUAAAACAAAUCACCACCAGAAAAUAUUUGGUAAAAAUUACUCUAGUUUUUUCCAAAGAUUUUGCAAUGGACGCCAUUGCUCUUUUUGACACUGGUGCUGAUUUAAAUUGCAUUCGAGAGGACAUUGUUCCAAAAAGAUUUCAUGAAAAGACAAAUGAAAGACUCUCUGCUGCAAAUAAUUCAAAACUAAAGGUUAAUUCUAAAGUUAAGGCUUCCAUUUAUAAUGAUGAAGUUGAAUUUAAAACCUCUUUUGUUCUUACAAAUGAUAUACACCAUGCUAUCAUUUUAGGAACCCCUUUUAUAAAUCUCAUAACCCCUUAUGCUGUCAAUUAUGAUGGUAUUUAUUUCAGAGCAAAAUCAAAAGAUCUUGUUUUCUCAUUUAUUGAAAAACCAAAGACAAGGAAUCUUAACAUUGUCAAAGCCUGUUCUGUUUAUCAAAACAAAGUCAAUGCCAUCCUUAAGUCUAAACAAGAUGAUCUAUUUUGUUUACAAAAGGAUUUAAGUUUCCAAAGAAUUGAAAGUCAAUUGCAAAAUGAUUUUAUACAAAGAAAAAUCUCUGAUUUUAAAGCUCUUAUUGAAAAAGAGAUAUGUGCCGAUUUACCUUCUGCUUUUUGGAAUAGAAAACAGCACUUGGUUGAUUUGCCUUAUGAAAAUUCUUUUGAUGAAAAGCAAAUACCCACUAAAGCUCGUCCAAUCCAAAUGAAUAUGGAAUUGGAACAACAUUGUAAAAAUGAAAUAAAAGAUUUAGAAACCAAAGGUCUCAUUGUAAAGUCCAGAUCACCAUGGUCUUGUGCCGCUUUUUAUGUAAAUAAAAAUUCUGAAAUUGAAAGAGGUAUUCCGAGACUUGUGAUAAAUUACAAACCUUUGAAUAAAGCUUUAAAAUGGAUUAGGUAUCCCAUACCUAACAAAAAAGAUUUGCUUCAAAAACUCUGCUCAGCUUUCAUUUUUUCAAAAUUUGAUAUGAAGUCUGGUUUUUGGCAAAUUCAAAUACAUCCUAACGACCGUUACAAAACCGCUUUUACUGUUCCCUUUGGUCAAUACGAAUGGACAGUAAUGCCUUUUGGUUUAAAAAAUGCACCCUCCGAGUUUCAAAGAAUUAUGAAUGAUAUUUAUAAUCCUUAUUCUGAGUUUUGCAUUGUUUAUAUUGAUGAUGUGUUGAUUUUUUCUCAGACUAUUGAUCAACAUUUCAAACAUUUAAAGACUUUUUAUCUUGCUACUAGAAAGGCUGGGUUAGCCCUCUCUAGUUCAAAAAUUUCAUUAUUUCAAACAAAAGUCAGGUUCCUCGGUCACCAUAUUUCCAAAGGAACCAUUACCCCAAUAGAAAUAUCACUUUUGUUUGCGGAUAAAUUUCCAGACAAAAUUCUGGACAAAACCCAAUUACAAAGAUUUCUUGGUAGUUUAAAUUAUGUUCUCGAUUUCUGCCCUAACAUCAAUAGGAUGUCUAAACCCUUGCAUGAUAGGUUGAAAAAGAAUACUGUUGCAUGGUCAGACGAACAUACUAAAGUUGUUAGAUUAAUAAAGCAGUCUGUGAAAAACAUCCCAUGUUUAUUUCUUGCAAAUCCUGCAUUACCUAAAAUUGUUGAGACUGAUGCUUCUGAUAUAGGUUAUGGAGGUAUAUUGAAACAAAAGGAAAAUGAUAAAGAACAGAUAGUACAAUAUGUUUCUGCUCAUUGGAAUGAUUGCCAGAAAAAUUAUUCUACUAUCAAAAAGGAAAUUCUUUCCAUUGUUUUAUGCAUAUCUAAAUUUCAAAGCGAUUUAUUAAAUCAAAAAUUUUUACUAAGAAUUGAUUGCAAAGCUGCAAAACAUGUUUUAGAAAAGGAUGUUCACAACAUUGCAUCCAAACAGAUUUUUGCAC